rnacentral:rRNA from 1 species
UACGUAGGGGGCAAGCGUUGUCCGGAUUUAUUGGGCGUAAAGAGCUCGUAGGUGGUUCGGUAAGUCGGAUGUGAAAUCUCCAGGCUCAACCUGGAGGGGUCAUUCGAUACUGCCGUGAUUAGAGGUCGGUAGGGGAGUGUGGGAAUUCCUGGUGUAGCGGUGAAAUGCGCAGAUAUCAGGAGGAACACCGGUGGCGAAGGCGGGUCUCUGGGCCGUAACUGACGCUGAGGAGCGAAAGCGUGGGGAGCGAAACAGG